CACGUAGGGUGCGAGCGUUGUCCGGAUUUACUGGGUUUAAAGGGUGCGUAGGUGGGUAAGUAAGUCAGAGGUGAAAUCUUCGAGCUUAACUCGGAAACUGCCAUUGAUACUAUUUAUCUUGAAUACUUUGGAGGUAAGCGGAAUAUGUCAUGUAGCGGUGAAAUGCUUAGAUAUGACAUAGAACACCAAUUGCGAAGGCAGCUUACUACACAGUUAUUGACACUGAGGCACGAAAGCGUGGGGAUCAAACAGG
rnacentral:rRNA from 1 species